rnacentral:rRNA from 1 species
UUGACGGGGAGCACCACGAACGGUGGAGCUUGCGGUUUAAUUUGGAUUCAACGCCGGAAAUCUUACCGGGACCGACAGCAAUUAUGAAGGCCAGGCUGAAGACUUUGCCGGAUUAGCUGAGAGGUGUGCAUGGCCGUCGUCAGUUCGUACUGUGAAGCAUCCUGUUAAGUCAGGCAACGAGCGAGACCCACGCCCACAGUUGCCAGCGUACUCUCUGGAGUGACGGGUACACUGUGGGGACCGCCGCUGCUAAAGCGGAGGAAGGAAUGGGCAACGGUAGGUCAGUAUGCCCCGAAUAUCCCGGGCUACACGCGAGCUACAAUGGUUGGUACAAUGGGUAUCUACCCCGAAAGGGGACGGGAAUCUCCUAAAACCAAUCUUAGUUCGGAUUGAGGGCUGCAACUCGCCCUCAUGAAGCUGGAAUCCGUAGUAAUCGCGUUUCAACAGAACGCGGUGAAUACGUCCCUGCUCCUU